rnacentral:rRNA from 1 species
UACAGAGGUCCCGAGCGUUAUUCGGAUUCACUGGGCGUAAAGGGUGCGUAGGUGGCGGGGUAAGUUUGAUGUGAAAUCUCCGGGCUUAACCUGGAAACUGCAUUGAAUACUAUUCUGCUCGAGGUUUGGAGGGGGGACUGGAAUUCUCGGUGUAGCAGUGAAAUGCGUAGAUAUCGAGAGGAACACCAGUGGCGAAGGCGAGUCCCUGGACAACACCUGACACUGAGGCACGAAAGCUAGGGGAGCAAACAGG